ACAGUGACAGACUCUGGCACUGGGACUGCAAUGCCAGAGACUCACCAAUGGUCACACCGGGAAGUUUCCUUAACAAUGGCCAAACCAUUAGUUAGCAUGUGCACACUGGAAAGCCUGUCAUCUAACCCCAGCUCUAAAGCGAUGGAUCAAAUGACCUCCUGAAUAUGACUUGCCAGCCCCGCUUUCUCAAGGACUGCAAACAUAGGAGCUACGAAGUGAGCUAGUGCUCACAGGUGUGAAACCAGCCACACAAGGUUACCUGGUAGAGAAUCCAUCUCUUGUGUUCCAGCCCACUGGGCCACACCGCCCUCUUUAAAAUAGAGCAGUAAUCUGGAAUCACUGUAAUUCCUCUGCUUC